UCUUUUUUGCUUUCUCCUUCCUCCACCUUUCUUCCACCAUUAACACUAUUCUUCUUCUUCUUCCACUUGACUUUUCUUCUUCACCUCACCAUUUCUUCUCCCAAAAAAACACUUUUCUAAGCUUCUCAACCUUCCUUCACUCAUCUCCCUCAAUAUUUUUUUAGAUCCUUGUGUUCUUGAGAACUUUUUCUACACACCCAUUUUUGGUGAAACCCAUUUUCAAACCCAUCUUUUCUUUGCAUCAAAAUGUCAUCUUCUUCCAAUGGACCAUUUUUUCUUACUUCUCAUGGCAAGAAAUAGCAUCCAUCAUUUGAAUGGAAUGAUGAGGGGCUCCUUCAAGACCCCAAGACCCAUGCUCCAUAUUCUCACAUGGACAUCAAGAGCCUCAAGAGUAGAGGUAGUCUCCAAAUGUUGAAGGGCAUUUGGGAAGCAUUGUCUCCUGACAUUAGGAAUAUCAUCAAUGAUGCAUGUUUUGGUACUUUCUUUGAAGCUUUAUUAAAUUAGGAGACUCGUGAAUACAAGGACCUCCAAUUACUCCUUGCCUUGUCAGAAUACUUCUAGGACACCACAUGUACUUUCCAUUUUUCAGGCAUUGGUGAGGUGAUGUUGAUACCUUACGACUUUUUUAUCAUCACCAGCUUGAGGUUGGGUGGUGAAAGAAUCUGUUUCAGUGACUCCAUCACUCCAAAGGAAAUCAAGAAACUUCUAGGCGUAGUGCCUUCCUAAAUGAGGAGUAAAAAUGUCCCUUUAAUGUGGCUGUAUGAGAACAUUGCAAAAUGUGAUACAAUGGCAAUAGGUACCCGUAUGUUCAUGCUUCUCUUCAUUGGGACUUUCUUGUGUCCAGACUUAGGCAGUACAGUGAACCUGCACUAUUUAUGGAGCUUGAGAAAUAUUGAGCAGAUCAAAAAUUAUGACUAGGGUGGUAUGGCCUAUGCUACCCUUUUGUACUUCAUGACUCAACUUUCCAGGUGUAGUCUCUCAAGUUUGGGUGGUGCUCCAUUUGUAUGGCAGGUGAGGUUUGAAAUUUUUGGCUAUGUGUGGGUUUUGGAAAGUUAUUUUGGCUAGAUUGUAAUGGUGUUGUGAAUUUUUCAAGUCUGGAUGUAUGAGUACUUUGGAGUUGGUCCUAAAAUUCGGGAGGAGGUUAAUGACAUUUAUCCUAGAUUUCUUCGUUGGUUGCCCAAAUACCGUUUGUCAACGCCCUCCAGGCAUUCUUUGGAGAUUUGGUGUAUGGUGACUGACAAUUUGACUAUUGAUGAAGUGAGUCCUUCUCUUUUUGUGUGUGAGAUCUUUAGUGUUUGAUUAUGGCUUGGUCUUUUUCUCAUUCUGCGUUCUUUGGUGAUUUUUCAAAUGUGUUUAAAUCCUUGGGUUGGAUGUGAGGAGUAUGAGUGUGAGCAGGCUUUGGAGCUGAAUAGCCGUCAAGUAUUGUUUGAAUGUGGGCAUGGGAGGUAUUGGUAUCUUAGUGAUCGGGUGUUGCCUCAAGUUCAACAUGUGUACCCUCCUAUAACAAUUCUGGUUCCUCCUUGUCCCACCAUCCGAUUGGCUGACCUUCUAACUAAUGAAAAGAUUGUCAAGCUCGUGUUGGCCAUGUUGUUUCAGGAGUACCAAGGACUUAUUCUGAAUUUAUUCAAACCCAUUUGCAAGGUUGUUUGGCCAACAUUUAUGUGACAUCGGCACCAUCUUCUGAAGGAGAGGAAGAGGGAGAGGGAGAGAUUCCUUCUCCUCACCAUGCUGGUAGCUCUUCUAGUUCUUUUAUGGGGACUUAUCCCCAUUUUCCGGCAUGGCAAUAUGAAGUGAUGAAUCCUAAUGGAACAUAUAGUUCCAUGCCUUUGGAUAGGCCAAAGUACACACCAAACAUCCCCGGCCCGAUCCGGUUGAUGUUGAUCUUGUGGAGGAAAGUAUGCAAAUGAUCGAAGGUUUGCAACUAUUAGCUCAUACUCAAUCUUCCCAAUAUGUGAUCAAUGAGGCGAGCUGGGUGGGUCAAAUGGCAGUGGCUGAUUCCAUUAGAAGAACUUUGGAGGAAAAGAUCAAAAACCUUGAACUUGAGAACCGUCAGUAUGAUCCUCGAUUCUAUGCAAGUCAAGAGGGAAAUACUGAAGGUAGUUCCUCUAGAGGUAGGUCAAGGAGGUCUUCUCACAAGCAGACUCGGAGUCCCAAUGAUGUUUGAUUUGUAUUUUCAACUUAUCCUGCAAAAACGAGAAGAAGUGUUUCUUAGACAUUUGUAUUAAUUUCCAUGUUUAGCUCUUUGUCCUUUGAAUUGCUUUUGAUCUUGUCAGAACUUUAAAUGAGACAAGCUUAGAAUUCACCUGAUGAGCCUCUAAGCACACCCGUGAGCACGUGUUCAGAGGAUAGUUUUAUUUAAUAUCUCUUGUCAAAAAAAUAACUUAUUAUCUAAUUGGGCUUGCCUUUUAGGCUAGCCCAAUUGGGCUUUAGUAUUUGUCUUGGGAUGAGACCAAAUGGACAAAUAAGGCUCUAUCUCUAAUGAGUUUUGGGUUUCCAUUAACUCUUGACAAGUCCAAAGUUACCAUUAAUUAUUUAAAAAGUACCACUAUGAAAAUGUAAUUGCACUCUGGAGCUUAUUAAUAAAUUAUAUCUCAAGACUCUAAUACUAUAUCAUUUGACCCCUCCAUGAAAUAUUCAUAGUUUAACAAAGUCAUAAUUAAGGUUGUUUACAGGUCGGUCCAGGUCGAGUUUGUGCCCAACCCGAAACCAACCUGCCAGCUUUGGGUGACAGAGAAGCUGACCAGCCGCCAACCGCCAGAAACCACAAGUCGAGUCGGUUUCAGUUUGGGUUGACGAUGAUUUGUUUCAGGUCGAAACCGAUGAAGAGCAAUGGUGGAGAUCUCAACGUCAACAGUGGAGAUCUUGGUGCAUCUCGUCAAAAUUUGGCCAGAUUUGCAUCUGGAGAAAGAAGUAGGCUAGUCGGGUCGAUUGGACUCAAUUUUUCACGUGAAGACCCACCAACCAACCCGCAGAUUCGAUUUCUGAAAAUGGAAAUCGACUGCCAACCGUUGUUAGCGAAGGAUUGGGCGGUUUUUUAUCUGGGGUGGACGGUUUGGGCGGGUGGGUUAGGUUGUGGGUCAAG